GAUGAACGCUGGCGGCGUGCCUAAUACAUGCAAGUCGAGCGAACAGACGAGGAGCUUGCUCCUCUGACGUUAGCGGCGGACGGGUGAGUAACACGUGGAUAACCUACCUAUAAGACUGGGAUAAUUUCGGGAAACCGGAGCUAAUACCGGAUAAUAUAUUGAACCGCAUGGUUCAAUGGUGAAAGACGGUUUUGCUGUCACUUUUAGAUGGUUCCGGGCCGCAUUAGCUAGUUGGUAAGGUAACGGCUUACCAAGGCGACGAUGCGUAGCCGACCUGAGAGGGUGAUCGGCCACACUGGAACUGAGACACGGUCCAGACUCCUACGGGAGGCAGCAGUAGGGAAUCUUCCGCAAUGGGCGAAAGCCUGACGGAGCAACGCCGCGUGAGUGAUGAAGGUCUUCGGAUCGUAAAACUCUGUUAUUAGGGAAGAACAAAUGUGUAAGUAACUAUGCACGUCUUGACGGUACCGAAUCAGAAAGCCACGGCUAACUACGUG
rnacentral:rRNA from 1 species